rnacentral:rRNA from 1 species
AUUGAACGCUGGCGGCAUGCUUUACACAUGCAAGUCGAACGGUAACAGGCCUUCGGGUGCUGACGAGUGGCGAACGGGUGAGUAAUGCAUCGGAACGUGCCCAAUCGUGGGGGAUAACGUAGCGAAAGUUACGCUAAUACCGCAUAAGCCCUGAGGGGGAAAGCAGGGGAUCGCAAGACCUUGCGCGAAUGGAGCGGCCGAUGUCAGAUUAGCUAGUUGGUGGGGUAAAGGCCUACCAAGGCGACGAUCUGUAGCGGGGUCUGAGAGGAUGAUCCGCCACACUGGGACUGAGACACGGCCCAGACUCCUACGGGAGGCAGCAGUGGGGAAUUUUGGACAAUGGGCGCAAGCCUGAUCCAGCCAUGCCGCGUGCGGGACGAAGGCC